rfam:Turicibacter sp. H121, complete genome.
UCCUUAUCGAGAGAAGUGGAGGGACAGGCCCGAUGAAGCUUCAGCAACCAGUACAAUGUACAAAGGUGCUAAAUCCGACAGAGCUAUUCUGAAAGAUGAGGG